GGCACGCAUGCGCAAGGCUUGAAUGGCGUCGGGGUUGGAGGGUUGGAAGGUCGGGAAGUGAAGGACUCGCAGGCAUAUUUAACAACGCAAAGUUGCUAGGAGUUGGUACCAGCGUUUGGGAGGUAGAGGUGGCGCUCAUGCAUAUUUGAGACAACAUCUGGAUGGUUGGGGAGAACGGUGAUGCCACACUCAAUCAGAAACUAUGCUACUGCUGAAGAGGUAUAUUGAGCCCUGCCUGGUUAACCUCCAGUGAGGUUAUUAGAGAAUUGGGAGAGGCUCAAAUCAGCAUCCUGCACCUAGUUAUCAAACCAUUGUGAAGUCUUGAUUCCUGGAUGGCCAGAAAACUUGUCAUUGGUCAAGAGCAACAUUAAGAUCUGCCUGUUACUCAUACUGAUGCUUCCUGCCCAGCAAGUUCAUCAGAGGGCGAGGAUGAAUUACGGUUGCCAUGAAUGUCCUUGUGAGGCAGUUGGGAAGCCUUGGCUGGAUUGUGAAGGAUAUUUGAAAAGUAUUUUAGAGUCCACCAGAUCAUCCAUGUGAGUGACCAUGCAGCAAAAGAAGGAGGGUCCUCUCAGUGAUUAAGGUAACAUAGUGAUUAAGGAUUAUGAAGUAUUAAUUCUUCCACUGAUAUCUCAAAAGGUGAUCUGGACAAAGGAACAGGUAUCUCAGAUAAUCAGCAACUGCUGUGAUGAGAUGCUGCCUUUAAUGCUGCUGCAUGUGGUCAAACCUCCACUCCCAGUCUACCCAGACCAGGACUUGGCUUCCAGGAUCCAGGGGUGUCUGUGUGAAAUGAUCAGCCUGGGCCCCCAAGCAGGUCACUCCCAGCACAGAGAUGUCAUUGAUUGUACCACCGUCAUCAGGCUGUCUUCCGCCCUCAGGGAAAAGUAGCAUGUCUUCCAGCACCAUAUGACAACUGCUCAGCACUUAUUUCUUGUCAUUGCUCCCUUCUGACUGCAGCUCCGUGGGAUCACAGGAGAUUAUGGUGGUGGUGGACUCCCAGGCAUUGCUAUUCUCCUGACACCAGAACACCAUCAUGGUCAUCUCUGAGGCAUCAGUAGUGUUUCUAUAUGCCAACAGUGAACAAUCUGAAAAAGAUAUUAAAAAGUAAUCUCAUUUACAAUAGCCACACAUAAAAUUAAAUACCUAGGAAUUAACCAAAGAAGUUAAAUAUCUCUAUAAUGAAAACUAUAAAACACUGAUGAAUGAAAUUGAUGAGAUCACCAAAAAUGAAAAAA
rnacentral:lncRNA from 1 species